rnacentral:rRNA from 1 species
CCUACGGGAGGCUGCAGUGAGGAAUAUUGGUCAAUGGACGAGAGUCUGAACCAGCCAAGUAGCGUGAAGGAUGACUGCCCUAUGGGUUGUAAACUUCUUUUAUAAAGGAAUAAAACGAGGCACGUGUGCCUUUUUGCAUGUACUUUAUGAAUAAGGAUCGGCUAACUCCGUGCCAGCAGCCGCGGUAAUACGGAGGAUCCGAGCGUUAUCCGGAUUUAUUGGGUUUAAAGGGAGCGUAGAUGGGUUGUUAAGUCAGUUGUGAAAGUUUGCGGCUCAACCGUAAAAUUGCAAUUGAUACUGGCAGUCGUGAGUACAGUUGAGGUAGGCGGAAUUCGUGGUGUAGCGGUGAAAUGCUUAGAUAUCACGAAGAACCCCGAUUGCGAAGGCAGCUUACUAAACUGUGACUGACAUUGAUGCACGAAAGUGUGGGUAUCAAACAGGAUUAGAUACCCUUGUAGUC